rnacentral:lncRNA from 1 species
AGUUUUUUUUUGGGUUUAGUGAUUAGUGUUUUGAAUUUAGUUUUGGAAGGUUUGAGUUGAUGUUGGGGUAAGAACAUUUCAAAAUCAGAACAAAAUGUACUAUACUAUUUCGUUUGUUACUAUUCUAUUUUAAUAAUACUUCAUAUUAUAUACUAUUUGCAUAUUUUGAUAUUUGGAUUAGGGUUUAUAGUUUCUUUUAGGGUUUAGUGAUUAGUGUUUUGAAUUUAGUUUUGGAAGGUUUGGGUUGACGUUUGGGUAAAAACAUUUCAAAAUCAGAACAAUAUGUACUAUACUAUUUUGUUUGUUAAUAUUUUAUUUUAAUAAUACUUCAUAUUAUAUACUAUUUGCAUAUUUUGAUAUCUGGGUUAGGAUAUAUAUUUCUUUUUAGGGUUUAGUGACUAGUGUUUUUGGUUUGUGUUGAUGUUAGGGUAAGCAUUACCUUUUUCACUGCAAUCAUAGACAUUUCAAAAUUUGAACAAAUACUAUACUAUUUUGUUUAUUAUGUACUAUGUGCAUAUUUUGAUAUUUGGACUAGAGUUUAUAGUUUCUUUUAGGGUUUAGUUUUGGAAGAUUUGGAUUGAC